rnacentral:rRNA from 1 species
UUGACCUCAAAUCAGGUAGGACUACCCGCUGAACUUAAGCAUAUCAAUAAGCGGAGGAAAAGAAACUAACAAGGAUUCCCUCAGUAACUGCGAGUGAAGUGGGAAAAGCUCAAAUUUGAAAUCUGGCAGCUCUUUCAGGUUGUCCGAGUUGUAAUCUAGAGAAGUGUUACCUGUGUUGGACCGUGUAAAAGUCUUCUGGAAUGGAGCAUCAUAGAGGGUGAGAAUCCCGUCUUUGACAUGGACUACCAGCAUGCCAAGGUGCACUCUCAAAGAGUCGAGUUGUUUGGGAAUGCAGCUCAAAAUGGGUGGUAAAUGCCAUCUAAAGCUAAAUAUUGGCGAGAGACCGAUAGCGAACAAGUACCGUGAGGGAAAGAUGAAAAGAACUUUGGAAAGAGAGUUAAACAGUACGUGAAAUUGCUGAAAGGGAAACGCUUAAAGUCAGUCGCAUUAGCUGGAAAUCAGGCUUGCUUUUGCAAGGUGCACUUUCUAGUUGAUGGGUCAGCAUCAAUUUUGAUUGUUGGAUAAAGUCAUUGGGAAUGUGGCAUCUUUGGAUGUGUUAUAGCCCAGUGUUGAAUACAGCGGUCAGGAUUGAGGAAUUCAGCAUGCCUCUAGGGGCCAGGUUUCGACCAUGUUCAUGCUUAGGAUGCUGGCAUAAUGGCUUUAAUCGACCCGUC